GAACCGUCCAAACGUUAUUCGGAAUCACUGGGCUUAAAGGGUGUGUAGGCGGCGUGGUAAGUUGGGUGUGAAAGCCCUCGGCUCAACCGAGGAAUUGCGCCCAAAACUGCCAUGCUGGAGGAAGGCAGAGGUAAGCGGAACUGAUGGUGGAGCGGUGAAAUGCGUUGAUAUCAUCAGGAACACCGGUGGCGAAGGCGGCUUACUGGGCCUUUUCUGACGCUGAGACACGAAAGCUAGGGUAGCGAACGGGGAUUAGAUACCCCGGUAGUCCUAGCUGUAAACGAUGAGCACUUGAUCGGAGGAUCCUCCAUAGUUUUCCCGAUCGUAGCGAAAGUGUUAAGUGCUCCGCCUGGGGAGUAUGGUCGCAAGGCUG
rnacentral:rRNA from 1 species